rnacentral:rRNA from 1 species
ACGAACGCUGGCGGCGCGCCUAACACAUGCAAGUCGAACGAGCGAGAGAGAGCUUGCUUUCUCGAGCGAGUGGCGAACGGGUGAGUAACGCGUGAGGAACCUGCCUCAAAGAGGGGGACAACAGUUGGAAACGACUGCUAAUACCGCAUAAGCCCACAGGUCGGCAUCGCCCAGGGGGAACAGGAGCAAUCCGCUUUGAGAUGGCCUCGCGUCCGAUUAGCUAGUUGGUGAGGUAACGGAUCACCAAGGCGACGAUCGGUAGCCGGACUGAGAGGUUGAACGGCCAGAUGGGGACUGAGACACGGCACAGACUCCUACGGGAGGCAGCAGUGGGGAAUAUUGCACAAUGGGGGAAACCCUGAUGCAGCGACGCCGCGUGGAGGAAGAAGGUCUUCGGAUUGUAAACUCCUGUUGUUGGGGAAGAUAAGGAUGGUACCCAACAAGGAAGUGACGGCUAACUACGUGCCAGCCGCCGCCGUAAAUA